rnacentral:rRNA from 1 species
CAUGGGGUGCAAACGUUGCUCGGAAUUGUUGGGCGUAAAGCGCGCGUAGGCGGUUACUUAAGUCGGAUGUGAAAGCCCUCGGCUUAACUGAGGAAGUGCACCCGAAACUGAGUAGCUAGAGUACGAAAGAGGGUCGCGGAAUUCCCGGUGUAGAGGUGAAAUUCGUAGAUAUCGGGAGGAACACCGGUGGCGAAGGCGGCGACCUGGGUCGAGACUGACGCUGAGGCGCGAAAGCGUGGGGAGCAAACAGGAUUAGAUACCCUGGUAGUCCACGCCGUAAACGAUGGGUGCUAGAUGUUUCUGGUAUUGACCCCGGAGGCGUCGUAGCUAACGCGUUAAGCACCCCGCCUGGGGAGUACGGCCGCAAGGCUA